rnacentral:rRNA from 1 species
AGUGAACGCUGGCGGUAGGCCUAACACAUGCAAGUCGAACGGCAGCACAGUAAGAGCUUGCUCUUACGGGUGGCGAGUGGCGGACGGGUGAGGAAUACAUCGGAAUCUACUUUUUCGUGGGGGAUAACGUAGGGAAACUUACGCUAAUACCCAUACGACCUACGGGUGAAAGCAGGGGAUCUUCGGACCUUGCGCGAUUGAAUGAGCCGAUGUCGGAUUAGCUAGUUGGCGGGGUAAAGGCCCACCAAGGCGACGAUCCGUAGCUGGUCUGAGAGGAUGAUCAGCCACACUGGAACUGAGACACGGUCCAGACUCCUACGGGAGGCAGCAGUGGGGAAUAUUGGACAAUGGGCGCAAGCCUGAUCCAGCCAUACCGCGUGGGCGAAGAAGGCCUUCGGGUUGUAAAGCCCUUUUGUUGGGAAAGAAAAGCAGCAGGUUAAUACCCCGCUGUUCUGACGGUACCCAAAGAAUAAGCACCGGCUAACUUCGUG